rnacentral:tRNA from 2 species
GGUUUAAUAGCUUAAUAAGAGCGUCGGAUUUUUAAUCUGAGAGGUGUAAUUAAAUUUACUUAAGCUA